rnacentral:rRNA from 1 species
CGAACGCUGGCGGCGUGCUUAACACAUGCACGUCGAACGGAAAGGCCCUGCUUUUGUGGGGUGCUCGAGUGGCGAACGGGUGAGUAACACGUGAGUAACCUGCCCUUGACUUUGGGAUAACUUCAGGAAACUGGGGCUAAUACCGGAUAGGAGCUCCUGCUGCAUGGUGGGGGUUGGAAAGUUUCGGCGGUUGGGGAUGGACUCGCGGCUUAUCAGCUUGUUGGUGGGGUAGUGGCUUACCAAGGCUUUGACGGGUAGCCGGCCUGAGAGGGUGACGGGCCAAGUGGGAACGAGGGAAGGCCCCGGACCCCUAGGGGGGGAAGAGGGGGGGAAAUUGGCAAAAGGGGCGGAGGCCGGAUGGAGCAACCCCCGGGGGGGAAUGAGGGCUUUCGGGUGGAAAACCCUUUUCGCCUGGACGAAGGGGGGGGGAACGGAAAUGGGAAAAGAACAACCGGUAAAUUAGGG